CAGUAGCCACGGUAAAACGGAGGGGGCUAGCGUUGUUCGGAAUUACUGGGCGUAAAGCGUACGUAGGCGGUUUUGUAAGUUAGAGGUGAAAGCCUGGAGCUCAACUCCGGAAUUGCCUUUAAGACUGCCGAGCUAGUAGGUGAGAGAGGUAAGUGGAAUUCCGAGUGUAGAGGUGAAAUUCGUAGAUAUUCGGAAGAACACCAGUGGCGAAGGCGGCUUACUGGCUCAUUCUAGACGCUGAGGUGCGAAAGCGUGGGGAGCAAACAGGAUUAGAUACCCCCGUAGUCCCUGUCUCUUAUAC
rnacentral:rRNA from 1 species